rnacentral:rRNA from 1 species
UCCGGUUGAUCCUGCCGGAGGCUACCGCUAUUGGAGUUCGAUUAAGCCAUGCGAGUCUGCGAGAAAUUAGAUUCUCGGCGUACCGCUCAGUAACACGUGGGUAACCUGCCCUAUGCUGGAUAAUAACCUCGGGAAACUGAGAAUAAUGAUCCAUAGUUCACUACGCCUGGAGCGGUGAGUGGAUGAAAGCUCCGGCGGCAUAGGAUGGGCCUGCGGCGUAUCAGGUUGUAGGGGGUGUAACGUACCCUCUAGCCCUCUACGCGUACGGGUGUUGGGAGACAUAGCCCGGAGAUGGAUUCUGAGACACGAAUCCAGACCCUACGGGGUGCAGCAGGCGCGAAAACUUGGCAAUGCGAGAAAUCGUGACCAGGGAACUCCAAGUGCAUCGGGUAAGACCGGUGCUUUUCUUGACUCUAAAUAGGUCUUGGAGUAAGGGGUGGGUAAGGACGGUGCCAGCCGCCGCGGUAAUACCGGCGCCCCAAGUGGUAGUCGCUUUUAUUGGGCCUAAAACGUCCGUAGCCGGUCUGAUACAUUCGUGGGUAAAUCAACCAGCUCAACUGGUUGAAUUCUGCGAGGACGGUCAGACUUGGGACCGGGAGAGGUGUGGGGUACGCUCAGGGUA